ensembl:lincRNA 4933434M16Rik RIKEN cDNA 4933434M16 gene
UCAGUGUUAACACAGGAGCCCUACAGUCUAGAGGGCAUUAUCCCCAUUUUUCAGUGGAGGAGGUAAUGAAGGCUAUGGAAGAUGACUCCUCUGGGGCCCACAGUGAGGUAUGUAGGAUUUUGGUCAUAACCUAUCCCCAAUUCCCAGUCUUCCUUACAAUUGUGCUGUGCUGUUACAGAGUCCUGGAACAAGGGCCGAAGUGACAUUGCAGCUGGACCACUGAAACAGCUUGCAAACUCCGGUUCAUGUGACUCGAGGCCAAGGACUCCAAGAUGGAGUGAUGAGGAGAAGGAGAGAGCCAGAUCUUAGCCUUGCCAUUUGGAAGAGGGCUUUGCUAGUCAUCCUUUUGGAUCCUGCAAUUCAUCGUCCUGAGUGGAUUUGUUGCAAAAGCAAGAUCAGGACCAAUCUGACAUCUACAAUGGCAUCGUCUCCUACAGGGUCCAUGAUCUGCCAGUAGGGGAUUCUCUGAAGCAAUUAGGACAGAUGCAUUGUACAAGCUUACAGGCAUAACACGGCCAUCAGGCAAGGACAGCACCUUCAAAUGGAUACAGGAGAGUAACAUAUGGAUGGAGAAGACACACUGUGAGCUCUCGCAGGCAACUUUUUCACUGUGUCUCUUCCUUCAGGCAACAGAGCCCUGGAACAAAACAGAAUCUGGAAAAUAGACAUUGCAUCGAAUCUCAUGUAGCUUCCAAUUGUGCUUAAGCUUGUCUAAGGUGGAGGUUCGGGGAGGAGGAACUGUAAAAUAAUGUUUGGAACAUUCUUCCUAAGAUCCAUAGCUCCACUUUGACUUCUUCAACAUUAAGAGGGAUAAAGUCCUGGUUGCUUCUGCUGUGUUCCCAAGGCUCAUGAAAGCCAGACACUAGACUCCUGUUGGAUCUAAAAGGAAACUCCUAAAUAAGUCCACAAUGUUACUGGGAAAAUGUCUUGAAGGGCCAGUGUUUCUGAUUUCUCAGAUCCUGAGAGGCAGUCAUGGCUGACAAGAUACAAAUGUUUACAAGCUAAGAGCUCAUCUUAGAGAAGGGGAAUCAGCGACUUAGAAGCCACAAAUGAUCCUCAGGCACUAUAUGUUAUGGGAGAAAAGGCUAUGGGAUGGUGAGGACGCACCGGGUGACACUGAACAAACCCCUGAAGGGGGCUGUAUGGACAGAAGCUUUGGGACCAUCCCAGGGCCUCCUGAGCUGCUCAAACUGUGUCCUACCCCCAGGCAUGAGGGCAAAUGAAAACAAGAAGGGCGGAGAAGCAACAGAAACCACAUCACCCCAUCCUCCUUGCCAUCUGGUGGGCCCUGAAACCAUCAGUAUAUUUAGUUACUAUGUUUACACAGGAGGCAGGACCCACAUUGCUUGCUCCGGGCUCCCCCAGAGCUGUUGGAAUGGUCUCUACUUCCCUGGGAUCCUAAGGACCACUCCCAACCCCUGUACACACAGGGCUGAAGAUCUACCCAGUCCUGGGGUUUGAGAAAACUGGGGGUUCAGUUGUCCAAAGUGGAGGGAUGUUUAGGUCACCUUAGACCUCAUCUAGCAUUUGCCUGGGGCCUGGGUGUCAAUUUGGGAAGGACGACUUGAGAAGCCAGGAAGGGCUUAGGAUCGUCCGGCUGCGCAAGCUGCCAGGUUGAGGACAGUGGAUGGCUGAAUCAUGAAUAUUAACCAUGGAGCCUGGACCAUGGCAGCAGCUCACUGGACACAGACUUUUAAUAACCAUGGCUCUAUCUCUGCUUCAGAUACGGGACAUAUGUGCCUGCUUAGAAAGUAGGUUGCAUGUGAUGGGUUUUUCCAUGGGAUUUCCCACUCCAUUUUUUUUUUGAGUGGAAAAGCUGAGGGUUAUAAAGGUUCACUACUUCCUAUCUGACCAGGACAGUUAAUAAAGGAUGACCAGAAUUUGAAGGUGGCUUCUUCAUCUCUACCCAAUUUUGGGAAAUAAAGUCAUGGAUAAACUGU